UACGGGGGGGGUAAGCGUUGUUCGGAAUUACUGGGCGUAAAGGGCUCGUAGGCGGCCAACUAAGUCAUACGUGAAAUCCCUCAGCUUAACUGGGGAACUGCGUGUGAUACUGGAUGGCUUGGAUUUGGGAGAGGGAUGCGGAAUUCCAGGUGUAGCGGUGAAAUGCGUAGAUAUCUGGAGGAACACCGGUGGCGAAGGCGGCGUCUGGACUGCAACUGACACUGAUGAACGAAAGCCAGGGGAGCAAACGGG
rnacentral:rRNA from 1 species